rnacentral:lncRNA from 1 species
AUUUUAUCCUUGACUGCUGCUUUUCUUUGUUGAGGCAGCCUCUUCAGUGUUGGCACCAGGCUCAUGGCAAAGAGGGUCUCUUCAUCCUCCUUCCUGCGAGCAUCAGGUUGGGCUGCAUCCCUCUCGACGGCUUGGAGGAGCCUCUGCUGAAAUGAAUGGUCGCAUGCGGUUGGACACAUGGAGGAGAGAAUCAUUUUCGCAGUGUCCUCAAAACCGUGUCUUUUUGACACUACUGCUGACAGCUACAGGGACAUAAACACGAAAAAUGCUGCUUGGAGACAAGUGUCCACGAUAGUAGGAUUGCCAGAAGAAAACUGUUGGAGGAAGUGGAGAGGACUCAGGGACAGGUAUCAGAGGAAGAGACGGGCAGAGAAAGAGAAUAGGUCUGGGUCAGCAGCUUCAGGCCAGCAGCCUUGGGGCUUCUGCCACAUUCUUUCUUUUCUGGAUCCAUUUAUUGUGCCUAGGGCAACGAGUGGCAAUUUUACCGCCAGACCCUCUACUACGUCAUCCACAAGUGUUGUCGCCACCGGUGCAUCAAGGCCCUCAACAUCAUCUACAAGUGCGACCAUCGCCUCCACCGGUGCAGCGAGACCCUCUACAACAUCUACAUCACCCCCAAAGCCAAUUCCUCCUUUGGCCGUCUCUCCUUCCAGUUCUCUGCUGCCAAUGACUGGAACGAACUACAAAAAUCUCUGAAACUGGAAACACUUAUCUCCCUCACUAGCUUUAAGCACCAGCUGUCAGAGCAGCUCACAGAUCACUGCACCUGUACAUAGCCCAUCUAUAAUUUAGCCCAAACAACUACCUCUUCCCCUACUGUAUUUAUUUAUUUGAUUUAUUUUGCUCCUUUGCACCCCAUUAUUUAUUUCUACUUUGCACUUUCCUCUACUACAAAUCUACCAUUCCAGUGUUUUACUUGCCAUAUUGUAUUUACUUUGCCACCAUGGCCUUUUUUACCUUUACCUCCCUUAUCUCACCUCAUUUGCUCACAUUGUAUAUAGACUUAUUUUUCUACUGUAUUAUUGACUGUAUGUUUGUUUUACUCCAUGUGUAACUCUGUGUUGUUGUAUGUUGUCGAACUGCUUUGCUUUAUCUUGGCCAGGUCGCAAUUGUAAAUGAGAACUUGUUCUCAACUUGCCUACCUGGUUAAAUAAAGGUUAAAUAAAGUAAAAUAAGGCACUAAAGUAAAAUGUAAAAAAUUUGGCAAAGAAAUUCACUUUAUGUUCUGAAUACAAAGCAUUAUGUUUGGGGCUAACGUAACACAUCACUGAGUAC